rnacentral:lncRNA from 1 species
UGUACUGAAAACCACCACUAGGCGGCAGCGGAAUCCAGGCAUCCAGGUGAGGCAAGCGAAAAGGAGACAGAACUUGGGGCCAGGAAGGCCGAACUGGGGGCAGGAGGGGUCUCAAACCCUAGCCUCACCCUCAUCAUCUACCUCAUCCUCGGCACACAGAAACGCACAUUCCUGGUCCUGCAGAAUCACCUGAUCGCUGUUUACUCUGUUUUCUCGUCCAGGGCAGAGCGGCGGGUUUCCUUCCCAUCCUGCCUCUGCUCUGACCUGGGUCCCCAUCACAGUGGCCGCGGUGGGAACACAGACCUGCACACACACGGAAACUCACCAAUGACCUUUGAAUGACUACAUGAGCAAAUGUGUGAGAACAGCUGUGAACUGGGCGUUUGACACCUGCUCUGCCUCCUGUGAGCUGAGAACUUGACCAAGUGACCGGCUCCCCGAGUCUGAGGUACUUCGCCUGUUUAAUUCGUGGUGUAAUUUCAUUGUGUAGAUAAUAGGGCCGCCGGGGUGCGUGAUGCUUGUCUCUUCCUUAGCCCCUGUUUCUGUCGUCGUGUCCUGUCCCCUCCGCAGGGUGUGGUUAGUACCCGAAGGUCUCAGAAGUGUCCUGAGGAGAAGUCCCAGUGCCCCAGGGAGCCCUGGCUUCUAGGCGCCAGGGUUGGUGCAGUCAGGCUCCACUGUGGAGUGGUGGGGCCAGGUUUCUCAUCCACACUCUGGAGUUAAAAUAUUUUAUCAGUGGAUAAACCAGGUCCUGCUGAACAGCACAGGGAACUAUAUUCAGCAUCACCUGAUAAACCGUAACAGAAAAAGAUAUGAAAAAGAAUGUAUAACUGACUCGCUUUGCUGUACUGCAGAAAUUCACACAUUGUAAAUCAACUAUUCUUCAAUAAAAGAAAAACUUUUAUCAAAAACUAAAAGCAAAAAACCCCCGACCUGACCAAGACAGAACCUGCAGGUACAGAGAACAGAUUGAUGGUCAAAGACGGUGGGGGGGGCGGAAAGAGAUGAAAUGGUUGAAGGUGGUGAAAAGGUAUAAACUUCCAGCUCUAAAGUAAGUCAUGGGAAUCACCUGUACAGCAAGCUGACCAUGUGUGGCUAA